GACGAACGCUGGCGGCGUGCUUAACACAUGCAAGUCGAACGGAAAGGCCCUGCUUUUGUGGGGUGCUCGAGUGGCGAACGGGUGAGUAACGCGUGAGUAACCUGCCCUUGACUUUGGGAUAACUUCAGGAAACUGGGGCUAAUACCGGAUAGGAGCUCCUGCUGCAUGGUGGGGGUUGGAAAGUUUCGGCGGUUGGGGAUGGACUCGCAGCUUAUCAGCUUGUUGGUGGGGUAGUGGCUUACCAAGGCUUUGACGGGUAGCCGGCCUGAGAGGGUGACCGGCCACAUUGGGACUGAGAUACGGCCCAGACUCCUACGGGAGGCAGCAGUGGGGAAUAUUGCACAAUGGGCGGAAGCCUGAUGCAGCAACGCCGCGUGCGGGAUGACGGCCUUCGGGUUGUAAACCGCUUUCGCCUGUGACGAAGCGUGAGUGACGGUAAUGGGUAAAGAAGCACCGGCUAACUACGUG
rnacentral:rRNA from 1 species